rnacentral:rRNA from 1 species
UACAGAGGGGGCAAGCGUUAUUCGGAAUUAUUGGGCGUAAAGGGCGCGUAGGCGGCCAUUCAAGUGACGGGUGAAAGCCCUCGGCUUAACCGAGGAACUGCCUGUCAGACUGGAUGGCUUGAGACCGGGAGAGGUGAGUGGAAUUCCCAGUGUAGCGGUGAAAUGCGUAGAUAUUGGGAGGAACACCAGUGGCGAAGGCGGCUCACUGGACCGGUACUGACGCUGAGGUGCGAAAGCGUGGGGAGCAAACAGGG